rnacentral:rRNA from 1 species
AGUGAACGCUGGCGGUAGGCCUAACACAUGCAAGUCGAACGGCAGCACAGUAAGAGCUUGCUCUUACGGGUGGCGCGUGGCGGACGGGUGAGGAAUACAUCGGAAUCUACUUUUUCGUGGGGGAUAACGUAGGGAAACUUACGCUAAUACCGCAUACGACCUACGGGUGAAAGCAGGGGAUCUUCGGACCUUGCGCGAUUGAAUGAGCCGAUGUCGGAUUAGCUAGUUGGCGGGGUAAAGGCCCACCAAGGCGACGAUCCGUAGCUGGUCUGAGAGGAUGAUCAGCCACACUGGAACUGAGACACGGUCCAGACUCCUACGGGAGGCAGCAGUGGGGAAUAUUGGAUAAUGGGCGAAAGCCUGAUCCAGCCAUACCGCGUGGGUGAAGAAGGCCUUCGGGUUGUAAAGCCCUUUUGUUGGGAAAGAAAAGCAGCAGGUUAAUACCCCGCUGUUCUGACGGUACCCAAAGAAUAAGCACCGGCUAACUUCGUG